AUCACUUCUUCAAACAGAAAAAAAACAGAAAAUGCCUCGAUCUGCUCCUGUGGCGUCGUCCAAGUGUCUGCAAGACCCCGGCAUUCAGAUUCAACCCGAAACAGCAUCAGUUACUUGAUGUUUUCAGCCUAAAUGUGAGGAUAACAGAGGACAUUUAGGCAUGUAAUGUUUUUUUCUGUUGCAUUUUUUUGUUUUAUUUUCCUGUUUGAAGAAUCAGUCGCCAGUUACUUCGAUUGAAUUGGAUUUGGCUGCAACGCUGUUUACCCCUGAAACUCCAAAAGUGAUUUGUGGACUCAAACACUUUAUCCACACAUCCAUCAGCAUAGUGUAGUUCCAUCACAGUAUCCGAGUGAAGCUACCUUGCAGCCGUCGUGAUGAAUUAUCUCGCUAUAGCAGCUCCUGUAAACUGAGAUGCCGCAGCAUCUGUCCAGAAUAUGACCGAGCCGAACAGGGGGAUGUUGAAGGAGAGCAGAUGACAUGCAGUCGCAACGAUUAGACACAGAGGGGCCAUAAUAGGGAAGAGGAGGCUGUCGUGGUGGUGGUGGUGGGGGGGACGCACAACUGCGGUGCAACUGCGGUGCAAAUAUGUUGAUUGUAUGUCACACUAAUUCCCAGGAUGUAUUGUCCAGCUGUUCUGCAGCGUCAGCACGGAAGAUUCAAGACUCAGACGCACACAGAAUGAGCAUCUUCAACUAAUGACAUUAUUUUGGUCUUAUAUGUAGAGAACAAAUACCUGAAAGAGGAGUAAAGAUGAUUUUUAUAGAUGUAGACAAAGUCAACAACAAUUUGUGCAAAGUUCAAAUUGUCAGAGCUAUUGGAAAAGCUCUGACAGGUGACACAACAUAAAUAAAUAGAGAUCACUUGUUAUUGAGAAAAAUAAAUAAAUUGAUUUAUAUAUGAAACCAUCCGCCAAUUUGUGUAGCUUAAUAAGCCACCAAACAAUUAGCAUUAAAGUUCAUUAAUUAAGAUGUUAUUUCUUGUUUUUUUUUAUCCGCACAAAAGGCAAAGUGUAAAAAUAACAAGCUGCUUUUUCCCCCUGUUUCCAGUCUUAUUGCUAGGAUACGCAAAUCAUCUGCUGGGCCCAUCUGCAUAUUCUCUGCUCAGAUGUGAGUGUUAUAUAUUUUAAUUUUUUAAUGAGUUGGUAGAUGCGUGUAUUUCUCCAAAUCCAAACUAUCGUGUGAAUAAAGGAUUGUGACAGUGACAUACAGCAUCUUCAGAUGUGUAAACGACAAUAGCUAAUAAAGGACAUACACACAGAGAUAGUUUAUUUGAACAUCUGCUCUGGGUUACACUUGUGGAGGAGGAUUCCUUUGAUUUUUAAAGCAUCAGGAUGCUUGGCAAGUGUCCUCAGACAAAAGUCUAAGCCCGUCCCCAUGAUGAGACUUGGGUCCUGUUGCGGAGAGUGAUGUGGUUCGACUGUGGUUGGAUGGCUGGCCGGUUGGCCGGUCAGGCUACACUGGAAUGCAGUCUCUUUUGUUUGUC